GACGAAUGCUGGCUGCGUGCUUAACACAUGCAAGUCGAACGGUGAAGGAGGGCUUGCCCUCCGGAUCAGUGGCGAACGGGUGAGUAACACGUGGGCAACCUGCCCCUCACUCCGGGAUAACGCCGGGAAACCGGCGCUAAUACCGGAUACGACCAGGCGCGACAUCCCCCCUGGUGGAACGAAGUUCGGGGAGGGAUGGGCCCGCGGCCUAUCAGCUAGUUGGUGGGGUAACGGCCCACCAAGGCGACGACGGGUGGCCGGCCUGAGAGGGCGACCGGCCACACUGGGACUGAGACACGGCCCAGACUCCUACGGGAGGCAGCAGUGGGGAAUAUUGCGCAAUGGGCGAAAGCCUGACGCAGCGACGCAGCGUGAGGGACGAAGGCCUUCGGGUUGUAAACCUCUUUCAGCGGGGACGAAGCGAAAGUGACGGUACCCGCAGAAGAAGCACCGGCUAACUACGUGCCAGCCGCCGCCGUAAGAC
rnacentral:rRNA from 1 species